AUCUGUAACACGAUCGAAUGAUCUAUGAGAGAAUUAAUUCGAUCGAAUUUGUACGUAGAUAGACAAAGUUUCCAUAAGCGAAGCAUUGUACGAUUAAAGAGAAAAAGAGCUAAUCUAUUCGAUCGCAAUGAUCUCGUUAAUUUGGAAACACGAUACUACACUAUCCAUUUCAUUCGUUCGCACAAUGCUCGUGACGGAUAGACGAGUCGAAGAGCUGCAAGAGAGCAUAUGCAUGUUCGCACAACGAGGGAAAGCCUCCUGUAGGCAGAAGGGUCGGAGAAAUGGAGAAAGAGAAAGAGAAGGGAACGGUAUGUUUCCAACAGUCGGCGGAAAUUAAUGGCUGAAGCGUACGGAUAUAUCCUGUAGAUACUCACCAGCUGUACUCAGGCCCGGACUGGAGGUGAACUUGGCCACGUCGACGAUUUUUACAGCGAAAGUCUGCCCGGUCUGUCGGUGAAUGCAUUUCCGAACGACGCUGAAUGGUCCCCUGAGACAAUGGAAGAGAAAGACAUUAAUAUGAAAGAAUGAACGCUGAGAUAAUUGGAAUUCUCAUUUUCCUUGGAGAUAUCUUGAUCUUCU